CAGCUGUUGGGUGGUAUCACGGGGUGGCCUUGCUGACCGUGCCUCCUUUCCCUCCCUACUCAGUCUGUCCUGUGUACUCUAGGCAAUAAGCUUCACAUAAACCGAGCAGCAGCAGCCUGUCCGUUGAACAAGAAAAGCUCAAGUAGUCGAUAUUAGGGAUGAGAAAUGCAGACAAUGCGUUCGCUUGCUGCUAAGGAGGGUCAAGUGACUGUCACGGGCUCUGCACCGAGGAGAUGUAACCUGUGUCGCAGCUGCCAGCCAUGCUGGCUUGAAAAGAUGAACCCGUAACAAAGAUCGCAGCGCAAGAAGAGUACGUGACACACAGCCCGUGGUGCGGGAUGCCGAGAGCAGCGCAGCCCCUGCCGCCGCCGCCGCUCAGCACCUGCGGUGCUGCAGCUGGAAUUGGGGUGUCCGCGGCGCUGACAGUUUGUCAGAACUGCAGCCCCUGGGGACUUCCCAGAUGUCAUGGCAGGAUCAGACUUGAGAGCCGUUUCUGAAGAUACUCAAACAA